rnacentral:rRNA from 1 species
UGAAUACGAGAUGCUACGGCGUCGAAGCAGUCUAUGUCAUACUUCCAAGAAAAGCUUGCACUGUCAUAAACAAAUAAUGCCUGUACCAUAACCGACACAGGUGGGUAGGUAGAGUAUACUAAGGGGCGCGAGAUAACUCUCUCUAAGGAACUCGGCAAAAUGACUCCGUAACUUCGGGAGAAGGAGUGCCUUAUUUUAUAAGGUUGCAAUAACAAGAUCCAAGCAACUGUUUACCAAAAACACAGGUCUCCGCUAAGUCGUAAGACGAUGUAUGGGGGCUGACGCCUGCCCAGUGCCAGAAGGUUAAAGAAGUUGGUUAGCAUCCGCGAAGCUGAUAACUGAAGCCCUGGUGAACGGCGGCCGUAACGAUAACGGUCCUAAGGUAGCGAAAUUCCUUGUCGGGUAAGUUCCGACCCGCACGAAAGGCGUAAUGAUUUGGAUACUGUCUCAGAGAGGGGCUCGGUGAAAUAGACUUGUCUGUGAAGAUGCGGACUACCUGCACCAGGACAGAAAGACCCUAUGAAGCUUUACUGUAACUUGAAAUUGAAAUUGGACUUUACUUGCGCAGUAUAGGUGGGAGGCGUUGAGAAUAUUCUUGCGGGAAUGUUGGAGCCAUCAGUGAGAUACCACUCUUGUAAUGUUAGAUUUCUAACUUUGUAUCAUUAUCUGGUCAAAGGACAGUUUCAGGCGGGCAGUUUGACUGGGGCGGUCGCCUCCCAAACGGUAACGGAGGCGCACAAAGGUUUCCUCUGAACGGGUAGAAAUCGUAUCUAGAGUGUAAAGGCAUAAGGAAGCUUGACUGUGAGACCUACAAGUCGAGCAGGGACGAAAGUCGGUCUUAGUGAUCUGACGGUGCUGAGUGGAAAGGCCGUCACUCAACGGAUAAAAGUUACUCUAAGGAUAACAGGCUGAUCUCCCCCAAGAGUUCACAUCGACGGGGAGGUUUGGCACCUCGAUGUCGGCUCAUCGCGUCCUGGGGCGGUAGUACGUCCCAAGGGUUGGGCUGUUCGCCCAUGAAAGCGGUACGCGAGCUGGGUUCAGAACGUCGUGAGACAGUUCGGUCCAUAUCCGGUGUAGGCGUUAGAAUAUUGAGAGGAGCCUUCUUUAGUACGAGAGGACCGAGAAGGACAUACCUCUGGUGUACCAGUUAUCGUGCCAACGGUAAACGCUGGGUAGCUAUGUAUGGAGUGGAUAACCGCUGAAAGCAUCUAAGUGGGAAGCCCACCUCAAGAUAAGUA